CCUACGGGAGGCAGCAGUGAGGAAUAUUGGUCAAUGGACGAGAGUCUGAACCAGCCAAGUAGCGUGAAGGAUGACUGCCCUAUGGGUUGUAAACUUCUUUUAUAUGGGAAUAAAACGUUCCACGUGUGGGAUUUUGUAUGUACCAUAUGAAUAAGGAUCGGCUAACUCCGUGCCAGCAGCCGCGGUAAUACGGAGGAUCCGAGCGUUAUCCGGAUUUAUUGGGUUUAAAGGGAGCGUAGGUGGAUUGUUAAGUCAGUUGUGAAAGUUUGCGGCUCAACCGUAAAAUUGCAGUUGAAACUGGCAGUCUUGAGUACAGUAGAGGUGGGCGGAAUUCGUGGUGUAGCGGUGAAAUGCUGAGAUAUCACGAAGAACUCCGAUUGCGAAGGCAGUUCACUGGACUGCAACUGACACUGAGGCUCGAAAGUGUGGGUAUCAAACAGGAUUAGAUACCCCUGUAGUC
rnacentral:rRNA from 1 species